rnacentral:misc_RNA from 1 species
AAGUCGUAACAAGGUUUCCGUAGGUGAACCUGCGGAAGGAUCAUUAACACUCCAAAACUUCUCAUAGCUCUGGGAAACCAGAGUUUAUGAAACCCUAUUCACAUUAGCGAACCCGGCUGGAUCUAGUCGCAAGACUCUAUCUAAGCUAUUUUCUUUUGUCCAUUUUCAUUUUUAACCCCAAUCAUUAUAACUUUUAUUUGACUGACUGGAAGACCUUAAAAAUCUUCCGUUGCUCUUCGCUCUAACCAGUGAAGGCAAUGAAAACUACAAACAAAAACAAAAAAACAACUCUUAGCAACGGAUAUCUUGGUUCUC